CGCCGUAAAACCUUUUUGAAAUCGUAAAACGUGGUUAGAUUAAGGAGAUGUUUAUCUUUCAAAGGGUGUAAAAUAGUUGUAUUUUUGAAAAAUUUGAAUUUUGACAUUUAUUUGGAUUCAAAUUUGCCGCUCUUGAAAUGCACCUGCUGUUGAUGGAGUGCACCACGGGUGGGACGCUUGCGUCCCACCUAGCCCAUAGAGGUUAAUGAUUACAAUCCAAUGCUUUUCAAAUCCAUGGUGGGGAGUGUGCAAGUGCACACUUUGGGAAAAGUGUGGAGAAUGGGGACACAGCCCUACAGUGAAAAUCAGAGUGGGGGUCAUUGGGGUGUGUUGUAUCAAACACACUAACAAAAGUCUUCACAGUAGGAGUCAAACCCUUUUGUCUGUGACUGUCCAUUCACAGGCUUCACAAUGAAGGCUGCUGUCUGAGCAGACUCAUACACUACAGUGAACUGACUGCGGUUCAUGUAACCCAGCCAUCUGUAAUCCCACUGUCAAAGGCUGCUGUCGCAACCUGUCAUCCUACACGGUGUCAUCUCGUCUCUCGUCUCUUUCGUCUCUCUCCUUCCUUUCCUUCCCUCUCAUUCAUGUAUUCAUCCAUCUAGCCAUUAAUUCAUUCUGGUCCCCUCUCUCUUUUUACCAGUCCAGUUGGUCAGAUCUAAACAGGUCUUUCCCUUCUGCGCCCAACCCCUCCUUUCUUUUGCUCUGGAGGAGGUUGGGAAGAGCGGGAUGAGGUGACCGAGGGGGUGGAGGAGGAUGGAGGAGGGAAUGAUUGUCGAGCGAUAAGCUCCUUGAAGACAGAGCUCAUCUGGUGGCAGACCUCCUGUGAGAUGAAAAGAGGGAAUACGGGAGGAGAGAGGAGGGGGAAGAAUAGAGGACAGAGAUGUUUUUCUUCACUGGACCGGAGUGGACUCCCUCUAGCGUGGUCGCAUACCUCUUAUUAUGCACGCUUAGUGAGUUCAAAAAUGACAACAGUAAUUGCAACAGCUGCUGCCGGUAAUUACAGAAAUAAAAUAUUAAAUAUGAGCUUAAUGAAAAACAUGUCAGACCUUGUCAACCUGAACUGUUAUAUCUUCACUGGAUGACAGGUCCUGGGCUCUGUGAAAAACAGAGAAAGAGAGAGAGGGGAGAGAGAGAGAGAGAAUUUCAGUUCCCCUGCUUUAGCUUAUUUAGGUCACUACAAUUUAUGACAAUGAGUGCUAAAACAAUACAACAAUAACAAGUCAAUAUACCCUGUGAAUAUCAGAGUAAAUGGUACAUAUUACUACCGAAGUUAUGGCUACAGCAGUGGAUGCUCCUAAGAGGAGGAAGGGGAGGACCAUCCUCCUCAGUGA
rnacentral:lncRNA from 1 species